AGAACGAACGCUGGCGGCAUGCCUAAUACAUGCAAGUCGAACGAACACUUCGGUGUUAGUGGCGCACGGGUGCGUAACGCGUGGGAAUCUGCCCUUGGGUUCGGAAUAACAGUUGGAAACGACUGCUAAUACCGGAUGAUAUCGAAAGAUCAAAGAUUUAUCGCCCAGGGAUGAGCCCGCGUAGGAUUAGCUAGUUGGUGAGGUAAAGGCUCACCAAGGCGACGAUCCUUAGCUGGUCUGAGAGGAUGAUCAGCCACACUGGGACUGAGACACGGCCCAGACUCCUACGGGAGGCAGCAGGUAGGGAAUAUUGGACAAUGGGCGCAAGCCUGAUCCAGCAAUGCCGCGUGAGUGAUGAAAGGUCCGUUUAAGGGUUGUAAACGCCUUACUUUUAACCCGAG
rnacentral:rRNA from 1 species